UAAGGAAUAUUGGUCAAUGGAGGCAACUCUGAACCAGCCAUGCCGCGUGAGGGAUGAAGGUCCUCUGGAUUGUAAACCUCUUUUAUCUGUGAAUAAAUACCUGAUUUCUAUCGGGUUUGAAGGUAAUAGAUGAAUAAGCACCGGCUAACUCCGUGCCAGCAGCCGCGGUAAUACGGAGGGUGCAAGCGUUAUCCGGAUUUACUGGGUUUAAAGGGUGCGUAGGUGGGUUGGUAAGUCAGUGGUGAAAUACUUUCGCUUAACGAAGGAACUGCCAUUGAUACUACCAGUCUUGAAUGUAGUGGAGGUAGGCGGAAUGCGUCAUGUAGCGGUGAAAUGCUUAGAUAUGACGCAGAACACCAAUUGCGAAGGCAGCUUGCUACACUACUAUUGACACUGAGGCACGAAAGCGUGGGGAUCAAACAG
rnacentral:rRNA from 1 species